CCUUGGGGACACCAUGGAGUGAAGACCCCAACCUUGGGGACGUGGUGACACCGUGACCCCCACCCUGGGGUCGCAGUGGGACUGGGACCCCCACCAUGGGGUCAUGGUGACAUCGAGACCCCCAUGCUGGGGACACUAUGGGACUGGGACCCCCACCAUGGGGACAUGGUGA